UACGAAGGGGGCUAGCGUUGCUCGGAAUUACUGGGCGUAAAGCACACGUAGGCGGUCUUUUAAGUCGGGGGUGAAAUCCUGGAGCUCAACUCCAGAACUGCCUUCGAUACUGGAAGACUUGAGUCCGGGAGAGGUGAGUGGAACUGCGAGUGUAGAGGUGAAAUUCGUAGAUAUUCGCAAGAACACCAGUGGCGAAGGCGGCUCACUGGCCCGGUACUGACGCUGAGGUGCGAAAGCGUGGGGAGCAAACAGG
rnacentral:rRNA from 1 species